CCUCUUCUGAGCUGUUUCUCGCUCAGAAGAGAAGGAUGUGGUGUAUUUUUGCUUUUGUGCAUGCAUUGAAUGCUGAAAUUGAACUAUUUUCCAAUUUUGUGAUCAACGAUUCUGGACCGAACGUAUGCUGAUUUAAAUGAGGAUUAUUAUUUUGAGUUGACACCUAUUUUGAUUACUGAUGCCGGGUCAAGAACAAUCAUCUGUGAUAUUUCAAUUUUCAUUCAAUUUAAUGCAAUUCAAUUCAUAAAAAGCUGACUGAAUUCCAAAUUGAUCAACGGCCGAAGCGUUUGAGCCGAUGAAUGUUGGAACAUCAAUGAGUUUAUCAUUAUCAGAUGGACUAUUUUCCAUUGUUGAUACCUGGUUAUUAUUAUUCGUAGAUGAUGAUUCUUUUUUUUUUUUUUUAAUUAAAAACUUUAUUAAGGCGGCAAUGGCCACCGAAAAUCAAUAUAAAAAUAAUCAUAAUAAUGAUUACAAUUGUAGAAAAAAUAAAAAAUAUAACCUAACCUAACCUAACCAAUGGUCAAUCGAAUUGCCGUUCGAAAAAAUGGAACCUGAAUCAAUACCGGAACAAGUGGAAUUUUUACAUGAAAAUGCCUUUUUUUUUCUUUAUUAUUAUUUUAUUUUUGUUAUUUUUUCUUCUCUUUUUUAUAUGAUAUGAAUUGUUUAAUGAUUUUCAUGAAUUGUAAUUGAUAACAUAUUGGUUGGCCAUUGCCAAUCCUGGCGUAUUGAUAAUAAAAUUUCUUUUAAAAUUAAAAAAAA